ensembl:lncRNA
AACUAAUCACUUGUAAUUAAGCAGAAUAUAUCUGGAAGAUGGAACCAGAAUGAAAAACCAACAUGUUUACCCUCCGCACAACACAAAUCUCCACGCUCCUUAGUUGGAGUUACAACCUGUACCAUAACGCGCACACAGAUUGUUGGGACAACCAUCUUAACUAUCUGAUUUGAGUAUGUUUACCAGUGCUUCUAAUUGCCACGUAAGGACCAUUCUCUGCUCUUCUUCCAGAUGACCCUUGACUUUCAGCACAUAAGUCUGACAAUACCAGCAGCUUCUUUAUUUGCCAGGAUGCUCUCUUGGAAGUUUAUUUAAUCUAAUGUUCCACAAGAAGUGAUUUGAGUGUAAAGGAUAUGCAUGCAUUUACAUAGUUAAAAUACAACUGCUCCAGUACACAACUACACACAGCAAAGAUGCUCACCUGUGCACAUGCUUGUUUAUCCACACAUAAUUGCAGCUCAACACAAUGAACACUGCAGACCAGCUGGAAUAUAUAGUUCUGACCUCACCGUUGUAACAAUCAUCAAGGUUGGAAAAGACCAUCAAGAUUAUCCAGCCAAACCGUCCACCUACCACUAGUGUUUUCCCACUAACCCAUUUUCUUUGGUACAACACGUAAGCGUCUCCUGAACACCUCCAAGGACGAUGACUCCACCACUCUCUGGGCAGCACAUUCCAGCACCUGAUCACCCUUUCAGACAGUAAAUUUUUUCCUAAUAUACAACUUGAACCUCCCUUGGCACAACUUGAGGCCAUUCUCUCUAGUGCCAUUGCUAGUUACACAGUUAGUACAGAGAAGUAACCUCAUUCUAUCAAUUUUGCCUAAUAAAAAAAAGGGGCAAUUCUCAAAAUAAAAAAAUUAACCAUACCAUACAAAACGUUAAGAACUCAUUCUAUGUUGAAAUGUGAGACCUGUUACAUACUUCCUAUGAGCUUAAAUCCUGCCCGGAGUCGGAACAACUAUUGUUUGGUCCUAAUCAAAACCUCUGAUCUUUUAGACCAGGCAAAUACCAAAUCUAGGAUCUAAACCUUGGGUUCAGGCAUUCCCCCUGCAUUAAGUCCAACAAGAACACCACUGUAUACAGAUUCUAAGAGAAUCCAGACUGAGACACUGGCGUUAGUCUCAGCAUUUGUUACCUAACAUCAAGCAGAUUUCACAAUUUAUGAGUUUGUAAGGUAAGAUGCUUUGAAUUUAAGCGUCUCCCAUACUUCUCCUCCCACCCAACAUAGAAGACACCUACUUUGGCAAAAGCUACUAACAGCGUUAUGAGAUAGGAAUCAAAAUCAUCUACAGUAGGGUUCAUCCUAAAUAAUGUUAACCAACUACGUUUCCUCUGUAAAGUUAACUACAAGCAGGCAGUAAGUAACCCUAUGGGGGUGAAUCUGCCCACACAUUUAAGUGUCUUAUAUGAAAUGAAGAUGCCUUGCAGGAAUGCCCAUCAUUUUCCACCACAGAAGUGGAACUACAGAGAUGUCAGAUUAAACAAGAAACAAAGUAGACUAAAUUAACUCUCAGAUGUAGUAAAUAUACCAUACCAGUUUAAAAAUGCAGCGCCGUAAAUAUUUGUGGGUUUUCUAUAUACAGGGUUGUGGUUCUCAGGCAGUGGUGUUAUGUGAACAGAACAAACAAGAGACUGUUCACUUUCUCAGAGUAUGCUUACACAGACAAAUAACCUCUCUUCUUCCUCUCACACCUAACAAGAAACAUAAUUGAGCAAUUUGGUAUAUGAGAAAAUUUUUCACUGCACAGACCAAGAAAAGCUUGGGCUUUCAAGUUAAGAUUGACGGAAGAGAAUAAACAUUUUCCCAUACAUUCUUAGUAAGGCAGCACAGAAUUCUUUACAUCUCCAUCUGCAUCAUCACCAGGAACACAUACUUCUCAGGAAAUCCUGUUGCAGGCUUUGGCAGCAAAGCUAUUGAAAAUGUGAACCUGUCGGACUCCGUGCCAUCGGAGGCAGUUAUCUGACUUGGCAGUCACUAAAUAAUACAGGUAUCUCAUGUAAAUUUACCUCUCUUCUUCCGGAACACUUCAAACUUUCUGUAUGACAAAUGCCUUAGAGUAAAAACAUUCUACUGCUGUAAAUGGCCCAGAUUGAUACACAUUUGAAUUCUGAAGUUCAUUACGCAUACACACAGAUACCGAUAUGUGCAGAGAUGCAUUUUAAAGUAUAUUUCAUGGCAAUUCUGAAUUUUAAUGAAGAGUUGCCACCUUCAGACUUCACUACACUCCUUUUCAGUAAUGAUGUAGGUGCCAGUGUCUGUGCUAAACUCAGAGCACAAACAAACGAAAAAGCGUAUUGUAAAAACAGACAAAAAUACUACAACAUAUUGCAUAACUGUUUAAGAAAUAGAUUUUUAGUAGUGGAGCAAUUUAAAUGAGUCUUCUGUUAUGCUUAGCUCUGACAACUAAAGCUCAACUGAUA